AUAUGCUAUGAGCCUCUGUUCAAUUUGGCGUGUGAACAUGGUUUUUAAGGCAUGCCUCCAGCACAAGGCACAAGGGGCUCAGCCCUCAAUAUCUCAACCCUUGAAAGGCAGGCGACCUUCAACAGGUGCAUGCCUUUUUGUCUAGGCAUGCGUCUAGGCACACCUCUGCAACAUUUCACUGAAAUUUCAGCAAGAUCCUCUUAUUUGUCUCUGAGAGAUUGACUUGUAUAUAUCUACGUACAUACGUAUACAAAAUUAUACAUGAUAAAGGAAUGUAUACAAGAUUAAAGCUCAUUACAAAAAAAGAGGCAAAAAUUAUGUUUGUCAACAUAAGACUAAAAUUACUUUGAUUUUGGAAUGAGAUUAAUUCCUAAAAUCUUUUUGAUAUAAGUAGAUUUUCCUAUUUUUGAUUUCAUAUGAUAUGACCUAUUUGUUAUCAGUUGACAUUUGCAUUUGUAAAUAUUGUAUUAGCUAGUUGUCUUGAGUUGACUUUCCUUUUUCCACUUUUUUGGUUGCCUCCUUUCUUUUCCAAAUUUAAUUAAACUUUAUUUUCACUGUCCCUUUUCUUUAUCUUUUCAUGUCCAUUACUCUUUUUUCUUUUUCUAUAUGCCUAUUUGUUUCUAUCUUUUGUCUUGGUGCUUUUGUUCUUUUGGAUUUUUUGCAUUGCUUUUAGCUUAGUUGUUAUAGAAGAAAAUGUUGCCUAUUAACCUAACCUGUAUGAAUUGAUGUUAUAUUGUUUAUUUGACUAUAAGCAAUUUGCAGUAAGGGAAGAAAAGAGGUUAGAUUGACAACCUACAACAUAUAUUCUUA
rnacentral:misc_RNA from 1 species